rnacentral:lncRNA from 1 species
GGACAGAGUUUUGUAGAUGGAAAGGAUGAUUUUCUCACGGGCUAUUAUCUGGCUUCCUGGGUGGAAUCAUUGUUGCAGUGGUCCUUGUUCAUGGGAUGCAGGGAUCUAGAAGUCACAUCCCAGGUGCUGCAAAGCUUGGCACCUGACAACCCCUUCUCAUACGCUCCCUCCUUCUCUGCACUCUGGACACUGGUUUUCUUUGCCAUUUGGAGGCCUUUGUUCAUGCCGGUCCUCGAACAAGAAGGUCGUCUUUUCCCGGCACCGUAUCUUCUUGGUUAACUUCUGUUUUCAGACUUUUAACUCAGGCAUAACUCACUCAGAGAAGCUGUCACUGAUCUCCCAGAUGAGUUCAACUUUCCCUUAUUAUUAUUUCUUAAAAUUAUGUGUCUCAUUUUCAGUCUUACUUUAGCUAUAAUUUCUGUGGUUCCUUGAUUAGCACAUAUCUCUCCCAAUAGACCAGAAACUCUUUUGGAGGCAGAAAUGUAUUGAUGCCUUAAAAAAACUUUUAUAUUUUUGCACAUUGUUCUCUCUCUUGUAUAUCACAGCACUCAAAAACAACCAAAAAAUGAAUGACUGAAUGAGCUAAUGAAAUAUCAUUACUAUACCUUUGUAUAAAUAACGAAACCUGCUUCUUUGCCCCAAGCAUUGACUGUUAGCUCAGAACUGUCACUAACAAUGGUGAUGGAUGGUGCUGGGAAGAAGCUUUUGGACCCAUCACGAGUAGCACACAGUGCAAGAUCCAGAGUGUACAGCACACCGUGCUCAGUAAAGUGCUUGGGCAAAUUCCUCUGAUCCUUAUCACAAUCCUAUAACAGUCGGUGUAAUACCAUUUCCUUUUUACAAAGGUGGCAUACUAAGGUUAGAGGGGAAAUGAGUUUACUUAAUGCUAUGGAGCUAUUAAAUGGUAGAGCACUGCCUUUGACCCAAGUUGCUUCUUAGUCUAUUUCUCAUUCAAAAUAUUUGUGUUCGUAUAGUGUAAAACCAUAAAAGGGAAAUAUUUCAUUAUGGAUUUCUCAUAUAAAUUUAAAAUAUAGUCAUUGUAUCUCUACGUAAAACAAAAGGCUCAUUGUAUAAAACAGCUACAUUUCAUACUGAAUAUUCUGGGCCUUCCUAUUCUCAUCUUUAAUUUAUAUAUUCCAGUGUUUUAGACACAAUCUUAGGCACAGAAACUUCCUAAGUUAUGUACUAGAAUCUCUCGAGGGAGAGUUAUAUAAAUGAAGAGUCACUCUUGGCUUUGUAACGGCACCUUAAAUAUUCCAUCUUGAUGCUUUGUGCCUAC